AUUGAACGCUGGCGGCAGGCUUAACACAUGCAAGUCGAGCGGAGUGAUGGUGCUUGCACUAUCACUUAGCGGCGGACGGGUGAGUAAUGCUUAGGAAUCUGCCUAUUAGUGGGGGACAACAUCUCGAAAGGGAUGCUAAUACCGCAUACGUCCUACGGGAGAAAGCAGGGGAUCACUUGUGACCUUGCGCUAAUAGAUGAGCCUAAGUCGGAUUAGCUAGUUGGUGGGGUAAAGGCCUACCAAGGCGACGAUCUGUAGCGGGUCGGAGAGGAUGAACAGCCACACUGGGACUGAGACACGGCGCAGAAUCCUACGGGAGGCAGCAGUGGUGAAUAUUGGACAAUGGGGGGAACCCUGAUCCAGCCAUGCCGCGUGUGUGAAGAAGGCCUUAUGGUUGUAAAGCACUUUAAGCGAGGAGGAGGCUCUUUUGGUUAAUACCCAAGAUGAGUGGACGUUACUCGCAGAAUAAGCACCGGCUAACUCUGUGCCAGCCGCCGCAGUAA
rnacentral:rRNA from 1 species